rnacentral:lncRNA from 1 species
CUUGUUUUAACUUCUGUAUGUGCACCUUCACGCCCUGGAGAGGGGUAUCAGACACAGCCUGACUGCCCGAGCAGUUGCGGACUGGCCCAAUUUCCUGCAGAGUGCUGCGAAGGCCGUAGAUAUCAACUUCAAAGGAGAGGACUUCUGGUGCUCCCAGUGCUAUCCUUGCUGAUUGCAAUGAUACUCUUCAGAAGAAUAAAAAAGGAAGAUAAGCCCCAGCUGCAACUUCAAGGAAUGGCUCAAUGCUUCAUUCAUGGCUUGAAAGAACAGCAUUGCUAUCCACAGUGGCAGUUUGUGUCUAUGAACCUUCUUAGAUGGCUCUCAUGCUCAGAUUUCUGUGCUGCAGCUCAUUAGCAGGAGAGCUGCCUGUGGGGCUGCAGCAGGAUGGGCUCUAGUAAACGGAUACAUUUACAAGAGGCCAAGGAUACAGUGGUGGAUCUUGCUUGUCAUUGGUGAAAAAGUCCAGAGUAAGUCAUAUUGUAUGGUCUCAAAGCUGGUGUAACUAGGAAAUCAGAUGCAUUACUUGCAGGGAAGCUCUGAAAUCUCUGAACCUUUUUUUCCAAUAGAUUGGUUAAUAACAAUUCUCCCUCCUAAUUUAUUGUUUCCAGUGACUGGGCAGUACUUUAUUCAGGUGAAUGAAAAAAAAAAAAGGUGAUUUACUCAAGCAAAUGUGUUCAGGGAUGUAUUUUUCUAUUUUCCAUCUAUGUCCAUUUUAGCAAUGGUGUGUCCCAUGCUUGGCUCCCUGGGGGGAAAGUCCAUCCACUGAUCUGUGGGAUGUGAUUAAACACCCACUAGGACUGAAACUGGGACCAUCAAAAUCAGUUGUCUGCAUUUUUUUGAACAUGGACCCAUGAGUUAAAAAGCUUGUGCAUUAAUUAAUUGUUUUGCUAACACUUAAGUGAAAAGAAAUAAGAAUUGAACUCUGGCUUGUUUCAGCUUCUUUCCUUGGGUGUUUUGUUGCUGUUGUUUUUUUACUGACUGAAGAGAGGAACAGCUAGAACUGUGCAAUGAUGAUCAUGUUGAACUUUCAAAAUAAUUAGAGGAUUCACUUAACAUUAAAGUAAUAACUUUAAAGGAGAAGGGUUUGGGGAAGGAGAGAGAGAGAAAGGGGAGAGAGAGGUGGAGUGGAAAGCAAGAAAUUAUAGAAAAAGGGUUGCCCAGAAGCUUGCAAAUUGUCAGCUGGCUGAAUUUAAAUAAACUUAUGGGAAACAAAAUACUGGGAAGUAGG